GUCAAGAUGGCCGAGUGGUCUAAGGCGCUGCAUUCAAGACUUGGUCUUAUCCGGUUACCUGGGUAUUCUGCAGUAUCGAAAGAUUCUUGGGUUCGAAUCCCAAUCUUGACA